rnacentral:rRNA from 1 species
AAGAAAGUAAAUAAGAGCGCAUGGUGAAUGCCUUGGCUCUCAGAGGCGACGAAGGACGUGACAAGCUGCGAUAAGCUGUGGGGAGGAGCAAAUAUCCAUUAUAUACGCAGAUUUCCGAAUGGGGCAACCCAUCACGCUGAAGGCGUGAUACCCGUAGCAAUACGAGGAGCAAACCCGGAGAACUGAAACAUCUUAGUACCCGGAGGAAAAUAAAACAAAAGUGAUUCCCUUAGUAGUGGCGAUCGAACGGGGAAUAGCCCAAACCGAUAACGUUUUGGCGUUGUCGGGGUUGAAGGACCAGUGUUAUUAUUAUUAAUAUGAAAUGGAAUAUGUCUGGAAAGUCAUACCAUAGAAGGUGAAAGUCCUGUACAUAUAAGUAUUAAUAAUAUAAUUGGUAUCCUGAGUAGGUCGGGACACGAGAAAUCCUGAUUGAAACUGCCGGGACCAUCCGGUAAGGCUAAAUACUUCUGAGAGACCGAUAGUGAACCAGUACCGUGAGGGAAAGGUGAAAAGUACCCCGAACAGGGGAGUGAAAUAGUACCUGAAACCGUGCGCUUACAACCUGUCGGAGCCAUUCUUCGGAGUGGUGACGGCGUGCCUUUUGCAUAAUGAGCCUACGAGUUACACCUCACUAGCAAGGUUAAGACUUAAAGAGUUGGAGCCGAAGCGAAAGCGAGUCUGAAAAGGGCGUAUAGUUAGUGGGGGUAGACGCGAAACUUUGUGAUCUAUCCUUGGUCAGGCUGAAGUUCCGGUAACACGGGAUGGAGGGCCGAACUAGUUGAUGUUGAAAAAUCUUUGGAUGAACUGAGGAUAGGGGUGAAAGGCUAAUCAAACUGAGAAAUAGCUCGUACUCCCCGAAAUGCAUUUAGGUGCAGCCUCGUGGUGAGUCUUGCAGAGGUAGAGCUACUGAUAGGGCUAGAGGGCUUCACCGCCUAUCAACCCCUGACAAACUCCGAAUGCUGCAAGAUAUACACGGGAGUGAGCCUGCGGGUGCUAAGGUCCGUGGACAAAAGGGAAAGAACCCAGACCAUCAGCUAAGGUCCCAAAAUAUAUGCUAAGUUGAAUUAACGAGGUGCGACUGCUUAGACAGCUAGGAUGUUGGCUUGGAAGCAGCCAUUCAUUUAAAGAGUGCGUAACAGCUCACUAGUCGAGCGGUUGUGCGUGGAUAAUAAUCGGGCAUAAGCAUAUUACCGAAGCUAUGGACUCAUGACUUAGGUCAUGAUUGGUAGGGGAGCAUUCCAGUCGGCGUAGAAGAUGUGUUGUAAAGCAUGUUGGAGCGUCUGGAAAAGAAGAUGUAGGCAUAAGUAACGAUAAGACAGGUGAGAAACC